UCUGUUCAGCAGAACGCUUCGGAAAGUCAGGGUAUCAUACACUCAGAUCUCAAAUAUCAUGUGGACGCUCCUUUCUCUGCACACACUGAAGCCUUCGUGGUAUCCAUUGUGGCCUCGAGAUCUCCUGAGGCUGCAGGCUUUUCUUUGGGAAGGAUUAUGAAAGUACACACUGAGUUCUCUGCGUUUGUAGCUUUUGCUUUCUGUGAUGUGAUGGACACGUGUGCAGUGGAGGGCACGUGGAGGUCAGAGGACGGCCUACAGGAGUCGGUUCUUUCUCUCUACCAUGUGGUUCCUGGGCUCAAGCUUAGGUUACCAGGCUUCUAAAUGACCUCUGAACACACACUCACCUCGGACGAAGCAAUCUGAGCGGUACCCAGCGCCUUGUCGCCUUUGGGAUAGUGUGCCAGUCUCAUGUCUCCUUGUACUUCUCCACCCCUGGGUGACAUGUCCCCUCUUGUGCAGACUGUGACCUCAAGUGGCUUUCUCAAUAGCUACAGUGUCUUAAUCUUCUCCUCAGGACAGUGUGACUUCCUGACUGAGUUCUUGUGAGCAGUAAAUGAGACAAGCAAGCAGGGGGGUUUUGCUCUUGUGAGACAGCAUCUCAUUCUGCAGCCCAUGCUGGUCUGGAAUUUACAACAGUCCUCCUGGCUCCAUCUCUGCUGUUCCAGAAUAACAGGGCUCAAUCUAAACUGAGGCAGUUCAAGGUCAUACACUCAUAGCUCAGACUUGAGAUGAAGUUACCAGUUCAGAAAACCUGCUUGUCAUAUCACACAGUCAAGGUACGAUGCUCAGAGAAUCAGCGCCUAGUAGACUAUUACCAUGUCGGGAGAAUGGCAAAGCCAGGCAAGCUUGUAAUCUCAGUAGCUAGGAAGCUGAGGCCCAAAACCACAAGACCAGCCUGAGGGACACAGCAAAACCUUGGGAAGAAGAGGAAAGCAGGAAGGGGGCAACGAAGGCAGAAGCAGCUGCUGCAAAAGCCUGUUCAGAGAGUAGCAUCUGCUCAGAAACAUGACAGAGAGGGCUGAGGUCAUUGCCCAGAUCACAUGCAUCAUUUUAUUUAAUCCUCAUGAAAACCCUGGGAUGUCAGUGUUGUCGUCAUCCUCAACCUUUGGAUGAGCAGCGGACACAUCAGCUAUAAGUGGUAGAGCUGGAGAGUGAGCCCAGACAUGUUGGGUCCGUACAGGCUGCACAGAGGAGGCAUGCCACUGACAGCAAGAUCGCUACUUCCACAGGAAGCUCUGAGAGCAAAGCCUUCCUCUACUGUAGAUACUGUUUCUACGUACGAAGAGAUAGAGCCAUCUAAAGCAGUGGCUCUUAGCCCGUGGGUCAAGACCCUUUUAGGGUUGAAGGAUCCUUUUACAAGGGUCACCUAAGACCAUUAGAGAACACAGACAUUCAUAACAGUAACAACAUUACAGAAAGUUUAAGAGAUGAGGAGAUGGCUCCGUGGACAAGGCAUCUGCUGCACAAGCCUGAGGGCCUGAGUUCAGAUCCCUAGCUCCCACAUAGAAGCUGAGCACAGUAAUGCGUGCCUAACAUGGCCACUCGGAGGAGGCGCACACAGCAGGUUUGCUGGAAUUCCAGCUCUUACGAUCUCCCUGCCUCCUCUUCCACCAUGUCCCCUGAGCUGCAGAUGUGGGAGCUAUGGUGUGGAUGUAUUCACUGGGGCCUGGGUUCUUCACAGCCUCUUGAUCUCUACAUGUGUCCAGUUGCAGUUCUGUUAUGGUUGCCUUUUAUUGUAAAAAGAGGCUUCCUCCUUGAGGAGUGGGAGCUACACUUCCCUGUGCGUGCAGGAUACGAUUUAGAAUGUAGUAGGGAACUCUGCUGGUCUAGCACGCUGAUGGUAGUAGACUCUCUUCUAAGGUCCCUGACCGCACGAGGCACAAGAAGCUGGCUUGGUAUAAAUUUUAUAGAGGGAGUUUGAAUGGAGACACCAGGCACGGAUGGUGAAUGGUGCUACUCCUAUAAACCAUGGAUUAUUAAACAAAGAUCCAGCUACCUCCCUCUGUCGCUCACAGAGGCCACAGAGGUCUCCAAAGCAGUACAUACUAUGGCUGUGGCUCUCCACUACCAUCUAGAACUCACCUUCUGCUGAAGACACUACAUACAUCAGUUGUAGGACAUCAAGCUGGGACUGACCUGGAAAUGCCUUUUGCUGGGUGCUUUCAUACUGUUAGAAGGUGCUAUGCAGCCCACUGGAGAAGUCAUUAUUCUUCCUCCACAACUGGAUCCUGGAUGUUACAACACCAACCUGCUAGGCAAGGUAUGCCUGUUGGUACAUCCAUGGCAUGAGGAUUAUGGAAGUUUGUAAGCAACCACUUUCUGACUGAGGUUCAUGCCACAGGAGGGAGAAUAAAUGUCUGGUCCUAUACCCUUGCCCAAGAGCCUACAGCCGAAGAGGUCAUAGACACAAGCCAGCCUGAGCAUCCAGAUGUUUACUCUGCCAAUACACACCAAGCACUGAAGUGCUCCAUGAGGAGUCCAUGGGAAGCCGCUCUCGCUCCGGAGCUUCCUCCAGGUCACCAAGUUUGAAUGACACUGUUCUCUCCUCCACCACAGCCCGGAGUGGCCCAGUGACACACACUGCCUCAGACACAGGGUUCCUAGUCUCAACAUCUCCAGGAGCCAUCUUUGUUUCUUCAUGGUCUUCUUUUAAGUUGUUCUUCUUUUCCAUUAAGGGACUUUCAGAGGGACUAGACUUUACUUCUCCUAAAAAUAAAGAGGAUUUUUGACUUGACUAUACCAUCUUGCUCCACAUUCCUUUCUAUCCACCCCUGAAACCCAUCUUGAAAUAACAGAACCAGACGAUAAGGGCACAGAAAACUGCACAUCCCACCGAGAUGAGGAUGGUACCCCACAGAGGAAGUUUGUCAAAGCCCAGCACUACGAGAUAAAAUGGUGCAUCUUGAAAACCCCAGGGCAACAGCCCCCUGCAACAAUGUGUAAACCCUCCUGAGGGGAAGGAGGGCUUCCCCAAGCCAGCCCGUCACGUCACCCGUUACAGCUGCUGCCAUUCCAGAGCUUCAUCAGGCUACUGGAUCUGCAGACCAUGGAGAAAAUGUGAAUGACCGCCUUAAACCCACAGCACCCAGAGCCGCCAACACUUGCUGGACUCGCAUGCUACUUUCCUCAAGAAUCACUACAGUAGACCCAUAACUAUAAAACAAUCACAGCAUCCCUUUCUCCACUCAGCUCCUCAUCCUAACUGCCCCACAGUACAUUUACAUAUGAUUGAUUUUAAUGUCAAAAGGGAGUGUCUCAAGUCAGUGUCAUGCAGACACCACACACU
ensembl:processed_transcript 9830144P21Rik RIKEN cDNA 9830144P21 gene